UACGUAGGGGGGCAAGCGUUGUCCGGAAUCAUUGGGCGUAAAGCGCGUGUAGGCGGCUUGGUAAGUCUGGUGUGAAACCUCGGGGCUCAACCCCGAGCCUGCACUGGAUACUGCCUCGCUCGAGUCCGGGAGGGGAGAGCGGAAUUCCUAGUGUAGCGGUGAAAUGCGCAGAUAUUAGGAAGAACACCGGUGGCGAAGGCGGCUCUCUGGAACGGUACUGACGCUGAGACGCGAAAGCGUGGGGAGCAAACAGG
rnacentral:rRNA from 1 species